rnacentral:rRNA from 1 species
UACGUAGGUGGCAAGCGUUAUCCGGAUUUACUGGGUGUAAAGGGAGCGUAGACGGCCAUUCAAACCAGAUGUGAAAGCCCGGGGCUCAACCCCGGGACUGCAUUUGGAACUGUAUGGCUGGAGUGUCGGAGAGGCAGGCGGAAUUCCUAGUGUAGCGGUGAAAUGCGUAGAUAUUAGGAGGAACACCAGUGGCGAAGGCGGCCUGCUGGACGAUGACUGACGUUGAGGCUCGAAAGCGUGGGGAGCAAACAGG